rnacentral:misc_RNA from 1 species
UUGUAAGUAUAAAUCUGCACUAUAUGUUUUGAAAAUGCAACCCCAAGCAUAAGUCCAUCUGGCCCCCAGACACAUCGAUUCACUGAUAUCGCGGCAUCAUUCAACAAUGCUGUCUGCAGUGGCAUUGAAGCAACUGAGAGAUCCCACACUUUGAACGGUUUAUGUACCAACCUCUCCCGGGAGCCAACUUCCCAAAGGCUAAUGUCACCGACAUUUGUCCCAACUAGCAAUAUGGUUUGUUGCUGCGGAUGGAAGUCCAUGCUCAUAACAUUAGA